rnacentral:rRNA from 1 species
UACGAGUGCCCCAAGCGUUAUCCGGAAUUAUUGGGCGUAAAGGGUGUGUAGGUGGUCUAGUUAGUCUCAUGUCAAAUUCUUCGGCUUAACCGGGGUACCGCAUGGGAUACGGCUAGACUAGAGGAUGCGAGGGGUGAAUGGAACUCAUGGAGUAGGGGUGAAAUCCGUUGAUAUCAUGGGGAACACCAAAAGCGAAGGCAGUUCACUGGCGCACUCCUGACACUGAAACACGAAGGCGUGGGUAGCGAAUGGG